rnacentral:rRNA from 1 species
UACAGAGGGUGCGAGCGUUGUUCGGAAUUACUGGGCGUAAAGCGCGCGCAGGCGGCUUUUUAAGUCCGACGGUGAAAUGCCGGGGCUCAACCCCGUGCCCGCCGCGGAUACUGGGAAGCUGGAGACAUGUAGAGGCAAGCGGAAUUCCGGGUGUAGCGGUGGAAUGCGUAGAGAUCCGGAAGAACACCGGAGGCGAAGUCGGCUUGCUGGGCAUGGUCUGACGCUGAGGCGCGAAAGCGUGGGGGGCGAACAGG